GAGCCUUUAUAGCUGGGUGAAUCCAAGAUGGCUCUCUCUUUGUCCCUCCUGGAAGGCUGUCGCUGUGUGGACCUCCCUUCUUUGUUAUGCUCUUCAAAGAGCUGGGUGUAACAAGUGGGGGCUCAUCCAAUUUUGAACCUUAAAUAGUAAACUAGUUUGCUUGUGUUCAUGUAGUCUAGCACAGUGAUGGUUUUCCUUAUGGUUAAGUUAAGCAAGUAAGGUUUGGGACUGCUUAGUUCUCUAGUGUCUUUAGCUGCAAAGUAGCUGUGCAUUACUAAUAACAAGAGACCUGUUAAGAUUUUGCGAUACACAGGGGCAACUGUGAGUUUGAUUGGGGACCAGUACUGCUACUGGGGUAAAAUAUCCUGUACUUGGUGAUGGGUUGGUUCCUCUGUGGGUUCCUUCACAUUGUUUUCUUCUCUGAUCUGGUUUGUGGAGAGGUGGAAAUGGGUGUCCGUCCUCGGUUGCCGAUUCAAGGAGUAGACAAUAUUCUAGGGAUUGACUUGUCUGGGGCUAGGGUUUAGGAAGAUGGUCCACCACUACUUUGUGUUGGUUCACCCUUCCAGGAUUCUUGGGAACUGGAUGAGUGUGCUAAACGGUACCCCAAAGUGUCUUCUUCCUGUGCUGUGAUGCAUUGAUGUAUGGUAAUUGUUCUCUAUCCUGUUGCUGUCUAGGGAAGAGGGUGUCAUGGAGCAAGCUGGGGAUCCCGACCUGAAAUCCCUGUUUGAGUCGGAUUGCCUGGAAACUCCUUUUUUGGAUAAGCCCUUCUGGGUACAGGUGGAUCCGAGUGACGUUGGAGCUGGGGGUGUGGAACAUCCGGUCUUUUUGCUCACAUAAGUUUAACCAUCAGAGGUUCUGCUUUGGAUCCUCCCUGACUGCCUGCCCCUCCCAUCUCGUUUAGGGAUUGGCUUCACCUGCUUGGAGCCUUUAUAGCUGGGUGAAUCCAAGAUGGCUCUCUCUUUCUCCCUCCUGGAAGGCUGGUGUCUGCCAGGCACCCACUUUGGUUUUGUUUGGUGAUUAUGUUGAGUUCAGCCUUUAGUUACCUUUUACACAUAGCUUUGGUUAGCACACAUAGUCUCACAGCACCCAACACCCUCACCACACUGAUAGCUUACUUUAUUAUUAGUUUUCCUUUGAGUGCUUUCAAUAAAUGAUUUACUCAUUUAAAAGCUG